rnacentral:rRNA from 1 species
UUCGAGUCAUAUGCUUGUCUCAAAGAUUAAGCCAUGCAAGUCUAAGUAUAAGCAACCUAUACUGUGAAACUGCGAAUGGCUCAUUAUAUCAGUCAUAAUUUAUUUGAUAGUACCUCACUACAUGGAUAACCGUGGUAAUUCUAGAGCUAAUACAUGCUAAAAACCCCGACUCCGGGAGGGGUGUAUUUAUUAGAUUAAAAACCAGCGCCCUUCGGGGCUCCUUGGUGAUUCAUAAUAACUCAACGAAUCGCAUGGCCUUGUGCCGGCGAUGGUUCAUUCAAAUUUCUGCCCUAUCAACUUUCGAUGGUAGGAUAGUGGCCUACCAUGGUUUCAACGGGUAACGGGGGAUUAGGGUUCGACUCCGGAGAGGGAGCCUGAGAAACGGCUACCACAUCCAAGGAAGGCAGCAGGCGCGCAAAUUACCCAAUCCCGACACGGGGAGGUAGUGACAAUAAAUACUGAUAUUGGGGUCUUUAGGCUCUAAUAAUUGGAAUGAGUACAAUUUAAAUCCCUUAACGAGGAACAAUUGGAGGGCAAGUCUGGUGCCAGCAGCCGCGGUAAUUCCAGCUCCAAUAGCGUAUAUUAAAGUUGUUGCAGUUAAAAAGCUCGUAGUUGAACCUCGGGCCUGGCUGGCCGGUCCGCCUCACCGCGUGCACUGGUCCGGCCGGGCCUUUCCUUCUGGGGACCCGCAUGCCCUUCAGUGGGUGUGCUGGGGAGCCAGGACUUUUACUGUGAAAAAAUUAGAGUGUUCAAAGCAGGCCUAUGCUCGAAUACAUUAGCAUGGAAUAAUAGAAUAGGACGUGUGGUUCUAUUUUGUUGGUUUCUAGGACCGCCGUAAUGAUUAAUAGGGAUAGUCGGGGGCAUCAGUAUUCAAUUGUCAGAGGUGAAAUUCUUGGAUUUAUUGAAGACUAACUACUGCGAAAGCAUUUGCCAAGGAUGUUUUCAUUAAUCAGUGAACGAAAGUUAGGGGAUCGAAGACGAUCAGAUACCGUCGUAGUCUUAACCAUAAACUAUGCCGACUAGGGAUCGGGCGAUGUUAUCUUUUUGACUCGCUCGGCACCUUGCGAGAAAUCAAAGUUUCUGGGUUCUGGGGGGAGUAUGGUCGCAAGGCUGAAACUUAAAGAAAUU